CAAACUUUUGAUGACAACCGGCGCACGGGUGAGUAACACGUAUCCAACCUGCCUCAUACUCGGGGAUAGCCUUUCGAAAGAAAGAUUAAUACCCGAUGUUAUAGUCCUACCGCAUGAUGGGAUUAUUAAAGAAUUUCGGUAUGGGAUGGGGAUGCGUUCCAUUAGUUAGUUGGCGGGGUAACGGCCCACCAAGACAACGAUGGAUAGGGGUUCUGAGAGGAAGGUCCCCCACAUUGGAACUGAGACACGGUCCAAACUCCUACGGAAGGCAGCAG
rnacentral:rRNA from 1 species